rnacentral:rRNA from 1 species
AACGAACGCUGGCGGCAUGCCUAACACAUGCAAGUCGAACGAGACCUUCGGGUCUAGUGGCGCACGGGUGCGUAACGCGUGGGAACCUGCCCUUAGGUUCGGAAUAACUCCCCGAAAGGGGUGCUAAUACCGGAUAAUGUCUUCGGACCAAAGAUUUAUCGCCUUUGGAUGGGCCCGCGUUGGAUUAGCUAGUUGGUAGGGUAAAAGCCUACCAAGGCGACGAUCCAUAGCUGGUCUGAGAGGAUGAUCAGCCACACUGGGACUGAGACACGGCCCAGACUCCUACGGAAGGGAGGAGUGGGGAAUAUUGGACAAUGGGCGAAAGCCUGAUCCAGCAAUGCCGGGUGAGUGAUGAAGGCCUUAGGGUUGUAAAGCUCUUUUACCCGGGAUGAUAAUGACAGUACCGGGAGAAUAAGCACCGGCUAACUCCGUG